rnacentral:rRNA from 1 species
GACGAACGCUGGCGGCGUGCUUAACACAUGCAAGUCGAACGGAAAGGCCCUGCUUUUGUGGGGUGCUCGAGUGGCGAACGGGUGAGUAACACGUGAGUAACCUGCCCUUGACUUUGGGAUAACUUCAGGAAACUGGGGCUAAUACCGGAUAGGAGCUCCUGCUGCAUGGUGGGGGUUGGAAAGUUUCGGCGGUUGGGGAUGGACUGGCGGCUUAUCAGUUUGUUGGUGGGGUAGUGGCUUACCAAGGCUUUGACGGGUAGCCGGCCUGAGAGGGUGACCGGCCACAUUGGGACUGAGAGACGGACCAGACUCCUACGGGAGGCAGCAGUGGGGAGUAUUGCACAAUGGGCGGAAGCCUGAUGCAGCAGCGCCGCGUGCGGGAUGACGGCCUUCGGGUUGUAAACCGCUUUCGCCUGUGACGAAGCGUGAGUGACGGUAAUGGGUAAAGAAGCACCGGCUAACUACGUG